GACUAAGUUCAUGAUAUGCCUUUUUAUGUUCAAAAUUAAAAUAAUCUAUUUUCUCCUUAAUUAAUCCUUGAGAGGUCUCUUUAUAGAAACGCAAAUCUUUCAUUUCUUUGGAAAAACCCACACAUUACUAACUUGAAUUGAACCCACGCAUUUCAUCUUUUUCUCAAAGUAUUAUUAGUGCCUAAUUAUUUCUUUUAAACAGAAUAUUUCAAUAUUUCAACUUGUAUCGAGACCCAAAGGUGUAAAAAGAUUAACAAAACAAAAGAGAUCAUCAUUCAUAAAACUUUUUUUAAACAAUAGCCGCCACUUUUUAAAUAAUGUUUCUUUCUUGUUCAAUAUAAUAAAUACCCCCUGCCACGAAGAUAUAUUGCCAAAAUUCCCUUACUCUAAGAAGAAAGGUUAUUGGAUUUGAAGCUCAUUAAAUUUUGAAUAAAUGACAAAAAAUAUUGAAUAUAUAUUAUUUGAACAUAUAUUUAUUGAGAUACGAGUAUGUAUGCUUAUGGAUGAAACGGCAGGUUUGAAUAUGAAUAGAAACAACCCCACUUCUACUGCUAUUACUACUACCGAAGGAAAAAAAAAAUACUUCAAGCUUUCCACCUAAAAAAUGCCCCCCUCACCGCAUUAGAAAGUUAUCAAGAAUGAGUGAACGAG
rnacentral:lncRNA from 1 species